rnacentral:rRNA from 1 species
UUAAGCGACUAAGCGUACACGGUGGAUGCCCUGGCAGUCAGAGGCGAUGAAGGACGUGCUAAUCUGCGAUAAGCGUCGGUAAGGUGAUAUGAACCGUUAUAACCGGCGAUUUCCGAAUGGGGAAACCCAGUGUGAUUCGUCACAACUAUCAUUAACUGAAUCCAUAGGUUAAUGAGGCGAACCGGGGGAACUGAAACAUCUAAGUACCCCGAGGAAAAGAAAUCAACCGAGAUUCCCCCAGUAGCGGCGAGCGAACGGGGAGGAGCCCAGAGCCUGAAUCAGUGUGUGUGUUAGUGGAAGCGUCUGGAAAGGCGCGCGAUACAGGGUGACAGCCCCGUACACAAAAAUGCACAUGCUGUGAGCUCGAUGAGUAGGGCGGGACACGUGGUAUCCUGUCUGAAUAUGGGGGGACCAUCCUCCAAGGCUAAAUACUCCUGACUGACCGAUAGUGAACCAGUACCGUGACGGGAAAGGCGAAAAGAACCCCGGCGAGGGGAGUGAAAAAGAACCUGAAACCGUGUACGUACAAGCAGUGGGAGCACAGAGCAAUCUUGUGUGACUGCGUACCUUUUGUAUAAUGGGUCAGCGACUUAUAUUCUGUAGCAAGGUUAACCGAAUAGGGGAGCCGAAGGGAAACCGAGUCUUAACUGGGCGUUAAGUUGCAGGGUAUAGACCCGAAACCCGGUGAUCUAGCCAUGGGCAGGUUGAAGGUUGGGUAACACUAACUGGGAGGACCGAACCGACUAAUGUUGAAAAAUUAGCGGAUGACUUGUGGCUGGGGGUGAAAGGCCAAUCAAACCGGGAGAUAGCUGGUUCUCCCCGAAAGCUAUUUAGGUAGCGCCUCGUGAAUUCAUCUCCGGGGGUAGAGCACUGUUUCGGCAAGGGGGUCAUCCCGACUUACCAACCCGAUGCAAACUGCGAAUACCGGAGAAUGUUAUCACGGGAGACACACGGCGGGUGCUAACGUCCGUCGUGAAGAGGGAAACAACCCAGACCGCCAGCUAAGGUCCCAAAGUCAUGGUUAAGUGGGAAACGAUGUGGGAAGGCCCAGACAGCCAGGAUGUUGGCUUAGAAGCAGCCAUCAUUUAAAGAAAGCGUAAUAGCUCACUGGUCGAGUCGGCCUGCGCGGAAGAUGUAACGGGGCUAAACCAUGCACCGAAGCUGCGGCAGCGACACUGUGUGUUGUUGGGUAGGGGAGCGUUCUGUAAGCCUGUGAAGGUGUGCUGUGAGGCAUGCUGGAGGUAUCAGAAGUGCGAAUGCUGACAUAAGUAACGAUAAAGCGGGUGAAAAGCCCGCUCGCCGGAAGACCAAGGGUUCCUGUCCAACGUUAAGUCGGGGCAGGGUGAGUCCGACCCCUAAGGCGAGGACCGAAAGGCGUAGUCGAGUAGGGAAACAGGUUAAUAUUCCUGUACUUGGUGUUACUGCGAAGGGGGGACGGAGAAGGCUAUGUUGGCCGGGCGACGGUUGUCCCGGUUUAAGCGUGUAGGCUGGUUUUCCAGGCAAAUCCGGAAAAUCAAGGCUGAGGCGUGAUGACGAGGCACUACGGUGCUGAAGCAACAAAUGCCCUGCUUCCAGGAAAAGCCUCUAAGCAUCAGGUAACAUCAAAUCGUACCCCAAACCGACACAGGUGGUCAGGUAGAGAAUACCAAGGCGCUUGAGAGAACUCGGGUGAAGGAACUAGGCAAAAUGGUGCCGUAACUUCGGGAGAAGGCACGCUGAUAUGUAGGUGAAGUCCCUCGCGGAUGGAGCUGAAAUCAGUCGAAGAUACCAGCUGGCUGCAACUGUUUAUUAAAAACACAGCACUGUGCAAACACGAAAGUGGACGUAUACGGUGUGACGCCUGCCCGGUGCCGGAAGGUUAAUUGAUGGGGUCAGCGCAAGCGAAGCUCUUGAUCGAAGCCCCGGUAAACGGCGGCCGUAACUAUAACGGUCCUAAGGUAGCGAAAUUCCUUGUCGGGUAAGUUCCGACCUGCACGAAUGGCGUAAUGAUGGCCAGGCUGUCUCCACCCGAGACUCAGUGAAAUUGAACUCGCUGUGAAGAUGCAGUGUACCCGCGGCAAGACGGAAAGACCCCGUGAACCUUUACUAUAGCUUGACACUGAACAUUGAGCCUUGAUGUGUAGGAUAGGUGGGAGGCUUUGAAGUGUGGACGCCAGUCUGCAUGGAGCCGACCUUGAAAUACCACCCUUUAAUGUUUGAUGUUCUAACGUGGACCCGUGAUCCGGGUUGCGGACAGUGUCUGGUGGGUAGUUUGACUGGGGCGGUCUCCUCCUAAAGAGUAACGGAGGAGCACGAAGGUUGGCUAAUCCUGGUCGGACAUCAGGAGGUUAGUGCAAUGGCAUAAGCCAGCUUGACUGCGAGCGUGACGGCGCGAGCAGGUGCGAAAGCAGGUCAUAGUGAUCCGGUGGUUCUGAAUGGAAGGGCCAUCGCUCAACGGAUAAAAGGUACUCCGGGGAUAACAGGCUGAUACCGCCCAAGAGUUCAUAUCGACGGCGGUGUUUGGCACCUCGAUGUCGGCUCAUCACAUCCUGGGGCUGAAGUAGGUCCCAAGGGUAUGGCUGUUCGCCAUUUAAAGUGGUACGCGAGCUGGGUUUAGAACGUCGUGAGACAGUUCGGUCCCUAUCUGCCGUGGGCGCUGGAGAACUGAGGGGGGCUGCUCCUAGUACGAGAGGACCGGAGUGGACGCAUCACUGGUGUUCGGGUUGUCAUGCCAAUGGCACUGCCCGGUAGCUAAAUGCGGAAGAGAUAAGUGCUGAAAGCAUCUAAGCACGAAACUUGCCCCGAGAUGAGUUCUCCCUGACCCUUUAAGGGUCCUGAAGGAACGUUGAAGACGACGACGUUGAUAGGCCGGGUGUGUAAGCGCAGCGAUGCGUUGAGCUAACCGGUACUAAUGAACCGUGAGGCUUAACCUU